rnacentral:lncRNA from 1 species
AGGACAGCUUAUGAAGGCAGAAGAGCCUGUCCGGAAAACACAGACUAUCUUCAUUCAAACCACUCUAGGGGACCAUUUUGCCUGGGGCUCCUAGCCAACUUUUUUAUUUAUUAGAUUUAUUUAUUUUUUAUUUAUUUAUUAUUUAUGUGAUGAGCCCUCUCUCCUCACCGUUAGCGGUAUUUAAUUAUUUAUUUAUGUAUUUAUUCAGAGAGAUUGUGUACCUUGAUAUGUGGUCAUUUGUGUAUUUGGUGGGACCUUCUAAAUUAUUUGUAUAUCUUUUUUUUUUAAUCCUGUUGCUAUGGCUGCAGUGGAAGCCGAAGGCCAGAGGCAUCUUGGUCUCUUUCGUGAAUGCUCUAAGCCCCGAACAUCCUGGGACUGACCAAGAAGUGUACUAGUCCCAAGGCUUGUUAUUCAGCUUGAUGCCAGUGAGGUUUGGGCCUGUGCCUCAACCCCAUGUGCAUGUACUGCACCGUUUUCACAGAGAUAUCAGAAAGAUGAAGUCGGCCACAAAGAGCUCGUGAUCCUCAAUUCAGGGCUGGAGCCUAACAUUAACAUGUAAAGCUACACAAAUUUAAAAGAGCUAUGAAGGACUCCUUGAAUGGCUGCCCAGAGUCAGAAGUGCCAUGUCUUGGCCAAACAGCCAGCCUCCCAUGGCCUCUGAGAUAGAGCUGUUCCCUUGUGGUUGCGAGACCACGUGGGUAGGAAUAGUUUAAUACUAGCACGGCUCUUGGAGACAAGGUAUCAUUCUGAUGAAACAAAGUAUCAUUCUGAUGAUGUUUGAUGCUGGCACAUCGGGAGAGAAAAGAUAGGAAUGGGCUAACCCAGGGAAGACAUUGUGCUCAUCUCGAUGUCAGCAAAAGGGAUCCACUCCUUCCUAUGAGCAAACCUGGUCUGUUUCAUGUAUGUUACCCCUACCCGUUUCUCCUUCACUCCUAGCUUUUGAGAUCAGAACGCGUUCCUGCUUUGCCCGAGAUAGACAAACAUUGUUCUGAGAAGAGGGCACGGGCCAUCCUGGGACAAACCCACAACCCAAAUCAAGCCUCCUUUUGCUGUGAUCAGCAGCUGUUGCAUUAGGGAUGGCACAAAGCUACUUCUGAAACUAGAAAAUAAAAGGCAGAUGGAGGGACAGCCAGAUGCCCCCCCCCAAAAAAAAGGUCACUUCUAAGUUCAUGCUGGGAUCUAAGACCCUGAGACCUUUCUUGGUCCUGCCUUCCUAACCAACUGGCAGGGACUUUCGGCCCGCUGGCUACAGAGAACUCUUGCCCUUUCAGAAGUCAUUCUCCACUGCCUUGUGGGUGCCAGGUUGCCUGGUCCAAUUGUGGAUUCACCAGCACAUCCCUGGCUCUUCCCACCAAUGUGGUUUGUCAUGCUUUAAUCCAAGCCAGGGGAUAUUCUUCCCUGGGGAACAGUUUUCAGAAGGCUGUUUAGAUACCUCUAAGGCUAGGAUACACUUCUCUUCUGCUUCUCCCUCCCCUUCCUCCCCUUCCUCUUCCUCUUUCCCUCCUCCUCCAUUUCUCUCCCCCUCCUCCUCAAUCUUUCUCCCCUUCUCCUCCCCCUCCUCCUGCCUAUUCUCCUUCCUCCUCUUCCUCCUUCUCUCCCCCUCCUCCCCUCCCUCCUCCUUCAUCUCUCACCCCCCAUUCCCUUUCUCCUCUAUACUGCUUCUCUUUCCAAGCAAGCAUAGAACUCUUUUUGGGACACUAAUAACCUUGGUUAAGUAGAACCAUUGCACUCAGGUGUAUCUACUCACUGUACCCUCAUUACUUUCUGCUUUUAGGGAAUAACACCACCUGAAAGUGGGUUGCAGCUGUGUUUGUACAAUGGCUAGCACUCUGUGUCGCAUAGGCUCUUCAGGGUGAUGGCUUAGUUCAGCCACCAACAUCCAAAAUGGGUAGUGUCUAGCCCGAGGUUAAGCAACACAUUGCCAAAGCCCCUUGACCUCCUGCUGCAGGCAUGCUCUACAAGAGUGAAAUGGGGCUAAUUGUUACUUUGUUGUAGGCCAGUGUUCCCACCUAGUGAGGUGGAAUAGUUGACAGAUAAUUCCAGGCAUUGGCCUGAUGCCUGAGAGAGUCAACAAACACAAUAGGUGUCCCAGAGACUCAGGGAGGAGAAUUAUCUUGAAAUGCUGCAAGAAGGUUCCUAUUCUUGAGACGAAACUAAAAAUAGCAUCUGAACUCCUACGAGAACACAAACUAACCCUGAGUUGCCAGCAAAACCCAUUCACGUCCACCCAGUCCACCCACGGUGGAACCCAUUCCAGGUUCUCCUUGAGACCUCCUUGGAGUGUGACUCAGCUUUUCAGGAGCAGAACAAAAGGGAGAUGUUGAAAAGGAAUUUGGGACUCAGUCCCAGAGAACCUCCAUCCCUAUGUUCCUCCCAUCCAGUCUCUUUCCCAAAAGGGUUUAAAGAAAUACAGAUAUGGGAUGCUACCAAAGGUUGAAGAAGAAAGCAGUGAGUUUUGUCUUUCUCCAGGCUGACUUCCAACAUUGGGGUUUUGUUGUUUGUUUUAGUUUGUUUGAUUGUUUUUUGUUUUUUGUUUUGUUUUGUUUUGUGCUGCAUUUUUCUUUUCCUGUGGUGCUGAGGGUGAAACCCAAGACCUCAUGCACAUUAGGCAGAGAUUCUAGCGAGUGUCAUGCCCUCAGACCUGGGCUAGAGUCCCCCUCCCCUCAUCCUCUUCUGCGUACAUUCUGAACAGUCUUCUCACGGGUGUCUGUGCCCCACCCUGGUUUUCUCUCUGCUGAGUAGAAAAUUUUAUUUAGUGAUAUGUGUAUGACACAUGCCCCCUUCCGCUGGUCAGCCCACCAGAGACACUCUGGCCAAACACAACACCAUCAGACAACACUUUAAAGAAUGCUAUGCCUUCUCUGUUCGUUCUGUACCGAUGAGCCAAUGACAAUGACAUCAUGGUCACCAUCCCUCUGUCCUUAAUUUUUAUUUCUGUUUGUGUAUUUGGGAUUUUGUUGUUGUUGUUUUAGCUUUUUGUUUUGCUUCAUUAUUCAUCUCUGUUUUGAUUUUGUGGUUUUGUUCUUUUCUUUUUUUGGCGGUUGUCAGUUUUGCACUGUAAAUACCAUGAUGUGAGCCUGACCUCAGAACAUGGCUUACUUAAUAAUUUAUUAUUUCCUAUUUAUUGAGUGGUAUUGAAAAGUGAGGGGGACCAGCCCUCCUGCUGGGUUGUUAUUGAAAACCCACCCAUCUCUCAGCUCUGGGUGCUGCUGUCUGUGGUGGGGGAAUUAUCACCCAGGUAAUGAGUGCUAGACUUACCAGCCAAAUUGGAAUCGCAGAAACAGAGGCUUCUGUCAUACAAAUUAAGUCCAAAAGGAUCUAAAGCACUAGGGGGAAAAAAAAAACCUCAUUUAGAUGGAACUUAAUUGAGGAACUCAAAUGCCUGUACUCGAACCAACUUCUAUUAAAAAAUCACAACU